GUCUCUCUGUCUCUCUCUCCUUCCUCCUAAUAAAGCUCUAAAAAGGUAACCAUGACUCGUGAUUCUUCUGCCACCGCAGCAUCCAGCGCUCUCUUCCUCUGCCACAGCCACUGUGAUAGCCACGGCCAGCCACAAUCGCCACUCUAAACCCCUUCACCCACUACAGCAUGAAGCCACAUGAGAUUCCUCAACAGUUGAAUGGGAGUGAUUGUGGAAUGUUUACUUGUAAAUAUGCAGAUUAUAUUUCUAGGGACAAACCUAUCACAUUUACUCAGCACCAGAUGCCUCUCUUCCGGAAGAAGAUGGUGUGGGAAAUCCUCCACCAGCAGUUGCUGUGACAAUGCCCUGCCCUGGGUCUUCUAGCUGCUGGUGGUUCUUUCAUGGAUGUUUCCAUAUACCUCAUGCAUUAUGGGUUAAAAGUCCCCGUAUCAUUUCUGUUCUUUCACAGGUACUGGGCUAUCAAGAGUGCAUGAAAGCCUCUCCACAGUAGCCCUGACUUGAGGUGUGGAGGGGCUGCUUGCAGCCCUGUUUGUGAGGCUGUGCCUGCCCAGAGCCCUGGACUGUUCACCCCAAACAAGAACAAAUGCUAAUUAAUGUUGUUUGUUUUAAAGAGUUAUUUCCAUAUGAAUGUGGGAAAUGCAGGCUUUGUUCUAUGAAUUGUUUUUUCUGUGUAUUUGUUCCCAUGUAUUCAUUCACUCACUCAUUUGCAAACACUGGGCAGUGCCCUUUUCUCACUGCUCUUUUAUAAUUAACUAUAAUAAUUUGUUUGGACUAUUUAUUUCUGAAAAGAAUGUAAUCAAACUGCCACCCUCUGCUGCAGAGGGACCUCAGCAGGGGGAGGAAGGGGGUGUUGACUAGCUUCUCUAAUGCUGGAGUAGGAACUGCUGACAUGAAGUUAACGCUCUCCCUUUUGAGGCUUGAAAAUGCCAGAAGAAAUGACGCUGCUGUGUUGUGGGGAUCUGGCUGCCUCUUAGAGGCUCUGCCGCUAUGACUCGGGCACAGUUCAUGGAAAUGUGGCCAAGGACCUCAGUCUCUGUGUCCUCAGAGCAGUGCGUGCUCAUCUUAGAGACUUUCUUUUUUAGAACUGAAGUAGCUUGGCUUCCUCUCGAAACUGGAUUCAAAGUAACUGUGACCAUAAAUGUUUCAUCCUAGGUGUGGUUGAGUAUGACCCUCACAAUGGUAAAGGGCUGGCCUGAACCGUCUAUUUCAGAAGAUGCUCCUCAAUUUAAGCCUGUUUUUCCUCAGAGUUUUUUUUAAUAUAUAAAUAUAUAUAAAGCUGAAAUUAAGUUCUUGGCUCAUUAGCAUGCCCUACUCCAGUCCCACUGAGCCUCCGGAGAGAGAUUUAGUACCUGGCUCUGAGGUCAUCUUUACAGUCAUCUAUUUUGCAUAUGAAAGUUUGUAUUUAACUUUUUUGUUCAUUAAAAAUCCUACAGAU